CUACCUGUUCAUCAAGCAGGUGAACGGCAGUACAGAAUUUACUUUUUUAUUUCUUUGGGCGUUCUGAAAAAACAUGGAGAUACAUUUCUGUGUAAUGAGGAAGGGUUAGGAUCAGCUUAUUUAAUAAAGAUUAGUGAAAGCCUAUCCAAAAUGUUUUCCCUCCAGGGCACAAAAAUCUCCUUCAAGUAGCUAAAUUAAAAGACUCAUCAAAUGCCCACAGAGUAACUGAACAUAAUUUUUAAAUCAACCCUUACUCUAAAUGUCAGGAAAAGAAAGAAGACUUGAGGAAGAUUUGGCAUUUCUGACACUUGGAAAAUCAAGUCCACAAAUAAACAGCUGCUGUCAAAGAAGGUGAGUGAGAUGUUUACAAGGUAACUCCACCUGCUUCUGCUCUCCGUUUGCCCACUCACUCUUUCAACAUUCACUGAACACCUAACUGUGCAGAGUGCUGUACGAGGUGCUGAGCAGGAACCCGGGCUCUUGCUGCAUGUUCAUAUCAUUUGUGGACUGAGAUAUUAGUGAUGUCCAGAGCAGUGAAACAUAUUGAAACAAGACAACACUUGCAAAGACAAUCUUUAAUAUUAAGCAACACUUCCUAUUUGCCCAUCCACUAACCCUUAAGACAUUCUUCUCAUUGCCCCCAUGAGCACAGCUUUGCCUAUAAUAGUGCAUAAAGGGCAUCUUUGUUCUCCUCCGAGUGAACUCAGCACAAGCCCAGGGAACAGUGAAACACCCGGGUGGAAAUGAGGUGUCUCUGUGACAGCAGACUCAUUCUUUGGCCCCCAUUUACCCAGAUCAACAUGACUGAGUCAGCAGUGGAUGAAACCGAUGAUUGUUUUAUUCUGCGUUCCCCAGUCACUCCCUGAGUCAGUGGGUAAACUGGGACUAGAACCCAGCCUUGUCCUACCCCGGCUGAGCAGUUCUACUAUAUUUAUCCAGGGUCUCAUGAUUCUUAGUGCUUUUGCUCUGCCCUCUAAUUUGCACUGUGCCUGCUAUAAUAUCAGAACGGGAAGUUGCUAGCUAAAAUGGUCAUUAUCCGGGAAAUCUAUUUAAACAUGUUUAUAAGGUCAGAUAAAGUGGGUGGUAGAUAAGCUAGACAGAAAACAACAAAAGCUUUGGCUUAGCCUAGCCAGUGAGCAAAAGCUAAAGACUGAAGUGUUUCAGUGUUGAACUAGCACAUGGUAGGAAAGGACAGCCUAACCAAAAUCAUGUCAAAAUGCAGAGGUGAACAGGCAAAAUAUUAAACAAACAAUUUCUAUUUCAGAAGCUGGACAAUGGACUUGACUCAUUCUAGCCUAAUGGAUUAGCAGCCUGUCCCUAAAGCCCCCUAUCCAGAGUGUAAAAAUGCUCUUUAUACACAUCAUACAUUCUAAUGAGAGGAAGAAGUUGGGAUCAUCAAGAAGAGAGCCCAGCAUGGACCAAAAAUGACCUUUGAUGGAAUUAACAGUAUAAUAGCAUUAUCAAACCAGAGAGAAAUAAGGAAAUUCAGAGAAAACACAACAUCUCUCAGAGCCCAAGCUGGGAUUCUCAAAUGUUCAAGACUGAAGAGCAGCACUCAGUUCCCAAAACCCACAGCUCAGAGUUUUGAGUCAACUGCCUCCUUACCUGAUUCCCAGGGGUUAUUAAACAUCAAAGAGGAGGGAGGAAGAAGAGGGGAGAGAAACUAUUCCCUCAUUCCUGUUUUAUAAGAAGCAGGGCUAUGAGUUGUAGUGGCUUCAGGUGGCAGACAGGAGCAGAGCCUCUGAGAAGGCCUCCUGUGUCCCCUGUUUGAGCUCUGAUGCAUAAAGAUUGAGCCUGAACUAGAUUCUUUGCUACUAAAAGAAAUCCAGGAUGGUUACUGUAAGAAAAUCUGACACACAUGGGCAGGGAGUAAUUAAAUCAGAAAAAUUCGCAUUUUUUUAUUAUGAAUGAAAUAAAUGUAAUGACUUGCUUUGCUUACACAAUCCACUUAGAAAUCGUCUUUCCUUCUGGAGCCUGAUUUCAUAUGGUUUGGGCUAUGACUGCAUAGCAUGAGCCCUUCUAUCCCUUCCAGUUGACCACAAAAUUAAACUCUUUUUUUCUCCCUUUCUUUUUGGUCCUGACUCUUCUCAUUUCUAAUGAGAAAGUCAUUGCUAUAUGCAAAGAAAGGAGAGAGAAAGGGCAGAGUAUUAAAACAUGAGUUGCAAGACUGGAGAAAGUAGAAAGAAAGGGAGAGAUCAGAGAGGGGCUUGGGAAUGAGAGUUGAAAGCAGCUUUGAUAUAUUAAAGCAAAGGGUCUUCCUAGAACUGUGCUGAUUAGUACAGCCACUAGCCACACAUGGCAUUGGACACUUGGAAUGUGGCUAGCCUGAACCACAAUCAGCUGUAAGUACAAAUUACCCAGCAGAUAUUGAAGAUUUUGUACUGGAAAAAAAAAUUGCAAAGUUAACUCCUUAAUACUUUUAUUUGAUUACAUGUUGACACAAUACUAUUUUGGCCUCAUAGGGUUAAAUAAACUGUUAUUCAAAUUCAUUCCACCUGUAUCUUUUUACUUUUUACAGGAAAAAUUAAACUCCCCCGUGGGGCUCAUGUUCUUUUUCUGUUUCUAUGCACAGCACUCCUCUCCGUCACCCCGAGAAAUAGUGGGAUUGCCUUCUGUUCCCACCACUGUGUUGGCCACUCACCACCAACCUCCCAGCCCCAGGGUCAAGGCCUGCUGUCAUCGUCCACCUUGCCUCAGCCGAGGUUUCUGCAUGGAGGCAGCCUCUGGUCCGGGGACCCAGGGGUCAUGAAGGGACCAUGAGGAAGGGCAGUGCCCUAUCCCUGCCUUGGGAUUUCUGACUGAGAGGGCGCCCAGGUUCCUCAGCCAGUCUUCACUCCUGUCCCUCUCCACAGCCGCCCCGGGGGCUCCUAGAACCAUGGGCGUCUUCUCUUCCCCGCGUUGCAGCCUUCUCCUCUCCAGCCACCUUGUCAAGAAUCGGCCUUUUCAUUCUGUUUUAAUAGUAAGUACAUUCAGCAUAAUUCUGGGUACACUAAAAAAUCUCUUUCGACUCAGAGAACACGCUGGGGCUUGGUCUGGAGUGUGUUCAGGGAACUAUGAGCCUUUGGUGAUUUGGGAGCAAAUAUCAGAAUGGAAUCUGAUUCUAGAUGGAAGUUUCUAGCUGUAGAGAAAAUGAAGAGAGAGGGGACUGAGUGAGUGGAGCAGGUACAACCCAAAGACUUUGGAAGGAGGCAAGCAAAUCCCAAUGAAUUACUAAGAAUCAUUCAGUGUGUCCCAGCUGUGUGAAGUCAGUGUGUGCCACAGAGUUGGGGACUCCUGGGGGGGGUGCUUACCUAUUUUCAGAGCCAUAGUAGAUCCCAGAUAUCUGGGAUGCGAACGUGCAUCACGUGGAAAAGGUUGCUGUGGUUUUAGACGGAUGGCUGCCUGCUGGGUUGUCCAGGUGCCCUUCUCAGGCCACUGACCUGGAAACUACAUUUUUGUAAGAAUCCAAAGAACAGCAUUGUGUUUUCUCACUUAAAAUGUGUUCCCUGAUGCCCAGAAGCAAAUCAGAAAUGCAGCUGAGUCUGUCUACCCAUUCAUUAUCUCUUUCUUACCAAACUCAAACUCAUUCCAGGAAGCAAUGUGCCCAGCUGAAAGACGGCAUUUCUCAGCCUCUUUUGCAGGUAGGUGUGGCUUGUGAGAUAUCAGUGACAUUUUUUCAAAUGACACUUCAAGGAAAAAUUCUCAAAGAAGGACAGAUAGCUAUUACAUGCCUUUUUCGGUCUUUCCCCCUUCUUUCUUCUUCUUCCUACAUUGUGUUUAAAACCCAGAAGUCACAGCUGGAGUGCCAGCCGCCAUCUUGGCCCAUGGGGGUAAUCUAGCAGGUGGAAGGCAGCCCCAAGAGGAUCAAGAAGAAGGGCAGAAGGAGCCGUGAAGACUAGGAUCUUAUGUGUAUCCACAAUAGCCCCCGAUCACCUACCUCCUACUUCUUUUCCAAAAGAGAAGAAUAAACCCCUAUCUUAAGCCCUAAGCCACUGUCAUUUGUGGGUUUUGUUUUAAGCUAUACAGCCUAAUUCUAAAUGAUUUACAUAAACCGAAUCCUAGGCCCAUUUCUCCAGAAAUCAAUUAACGUCAUCAACAUUGAUCAGUUGAAUAAAUUUUCUAAAUUAUUGGUUUGUGGCUGGGCGUGGUGGUGCACACCUUUAAUCCUAGGGACUUAGGAAACUGAGGCAGGAGGAGUGUGAGUUCAAAGCCGUCUUAAGUUAUCAGUUUGCUUAAAAUUUUCUUAUCCUAAUCACUUAUGGAGCUGAGACCAGUUCAUGUUUUGCUGGAAUCCUUUUAAAGUUAACUAUAUUUUGUGAUGUAGUUAUUUCUUUCUUUUUUUUUUGUAUUGAAUGAAUUUCAAGAGAUUUUGUUAAUA
rnacentral:lncRNA from 1 species